rnacentral:rRNA from 1 species
UACGGGGGGGGCAAGCGUUGUUCGGAAUUACUGGGCGUAAAGGGCUGGUAGGCGGCCAACUAAGUCGGAUGUGAAAUCCCCAGGCUUAACCUGGGAACUGCAUCCGAUACUGGUCGGCUUGAAUCCGGGAGAGGGAUGCAGAAUUCCAGGUGUAGCGGUGAAAUGCGUAGAUAUCGGGAAGAACACCCGUGGCGAAGGCGGCUCUCUGGAACGCAACUGACGCUGAGACGCGAAAGCGUGGGGAGCAAACAGG